GAGACUGACUCACUUCUGGAGCCAGACUCAGGUGGACGUUAGAGGAACUGCAGGUUUUGAAGCUUCACUUCACAGACACGGAGGUUGCUGCUUGGCUGUUACCGUAGAAACCACCCGGUUUGAAAAACAGACAAAUUAUAAUCUGUUAACUCGUCAGUGGAGCUCGUGUUGAUUAUCUGUUGUUCAGUGUAAUGUUGCUUUAUCUGCUGCUCGGGUCAGCUCAGACCGGGUCAGCUCAGACCGGGUCAGCUCAGACCGGGUCGGCUGGUUUCAUCAGGAGCAGAAAUGUUUCCGGACUCCCCGUCUGCAGCGUUUAUUAAAGGUGUGUGUCAGACAGCUGUGAGCUGCACACCAGUGUGUGUGUGUGUGUGUGUGUGUGUGUGUGUGUGUGUGUGUGUGUGGGCGGAGGGAGCUGGGGCGUUGACCUUGAAGCUGGUCGGGAUAUGUGGUCAUGCCUGUGUGUGUGUGUGUGUGUGUGUGUGUGUGUGUGUGUGUGUGUGUGUGUGUGUGUGUGUGUGUGUGCAGCAGGAAGUUAAAUCAAGAUGCAGUCUGGUGUUUGAGGGGACGGCUGGUCAGUAACGAGUUCAGAGAUGAAGCUCCAAAUCUCUUUAAGAGCUCACGGAGGGAAAUGGGUCAGACGUCUCGACACACACACACACACA